rnacentral:lncRNA from 1 species
CUACUCUCUCUGUUUUCCCCUCUUCCCUCCAUGUUGACUUUUGACAAAUCAGGGUUCUGUCUCUUUUUUACAAUUGUAAGCAAUUCUUCACUAAAGUUUGCUACUCAGGGCAAUGAGACUAGACAUCAGAAUAAUUCCUAGAGAUCUAUUAUAGAUUAUUGUGUCAAUAGGUGUUCUUGUUUUUGUAGCACCAAGGAUUUCUUUGAGCUUUGCAGAUUGAGUUGCAGAUAUACUUCCUGCCCUGAAAGGUUAUGCAUUGUGAACAAUACAGGAUGAAUGCACUUUCCACCCCUUUUCUUGCAUCUGAACCCUUAUUUAGUGAGGCCUGGGAGUGCCACAACCUGGCUGAUGACCAAGCUGGUGUAAGUCUGUCUGGAGCUGUCAGAACUCUUGCUAUGAAAAAGAGACUUUCAAGUCAUGGCUCCAGACUAUUUUCAGAGCCUUAAAUUUCUCUGUUCCGUGAAUUGUCUAGCCAUUAGGCAACAGGCCUAACCUGGCCCACCUUCUGACCGUUCUCUGUUUUCAGCCGCUCGGUUUUGAGGGCAGAUGGUGUACCUUCCUCCUCCCAAUAACUGAAAAUCAGAUGGUUAGUCCCAUAUCUCCUCGGAUGUGAGCUGAGGCUUCUCUAUUUCUUAACUCUUCGGUGAGUUCUCUAACAGCUAGUCAUUAUAGAAAUGAUGGACAACCUACCGUCAUAGCAGAUGAGAUUAGUUGUAUUGAUAAUCGCAACUAGUUUUUUAGACUUCUCUGCAACAUGGAUAGAUACUGGGUUCCUGUGUGCACUGGCCUAUUAGGGGAAAGAGAGGUACAUUUCUCCCUGGAAGAGGCACUCUGCACAUGCAUGGCUGACUAAAAUGGAGCCUCUAGGAAUCCAGGCAAGCAGAGACAGGCAUCCAGUAAAGAAAGUAGCCUGAUAUGUUGUUAGGGACUUAAAGACUGAUAUUCUAUUUGGGACUUAGAGAUGGGUAUUAAGCAUUUAUGUCUCAGCUUAAACAAGACUGAAUACCCUCUGUUGUGUGCAAACUGAAGAAUCAUUAUCUCUGUUUGAGAGUUAUUUGAAUAUUUAUAAAAGGUGACAGGAUAAUCAAGAAUAAUUUGAGAGUAACUUACAGAAUGCUGUUCUUACAGAAGUAUAGACAGACAACUCUUAUUGGGUCAUUCUGUGGAAUAACAGUGGUUUUUUACUGAAUGUAGAUAUGGUAUUACAGCUUCUUCAGACUGAAAAUCUGAUGAGUUGUCUUGUGAAUGAC